rnacentral:rRNA from 1 species
CGUGUAGGUGGCUCGUUAAGUCGUCGGUGAAAGCCCCUGGCUCAACUGGGGGAGGUCUGGCGAAACUGGCGGACUUGAGGGUCCGAGAGGAAGGUGGAAUUCCCGGUGUAGCGGUGGAAUGCGUAGAGAUCGGGAGGAACACCAGUGGCGAAGGCGGCCUUCUGGCGGGCAUCUGACACUGAGACGCGAAAGCGUGGGUAGCAAACGGGAUUAGAUACCCCGGUAGUCCACGCCCUAAACGAUGCAGGCUAGGUGUUGGUGGGAUUUCCCAUCCGUGCCGUAGCGAACGCGUUAAGCCUGCCGCCUGGGACUACGAGCGCAAGCUUAAA